UGUCAGUGCCUCUAGAGUAGGCCCUGCGGCUUUCAAAUCAAAGCCACAACACUGCUGCAGAGAAGAGAUUGGUUUGCCAAAGAGACAGACAGAGUGAAGUCUGCCAAAAAGAAAGCUCACAGCACAUUUGUGAUGUGUAUUAGAAGUAUCACCUUCCAUUCUGGCAGCCCACGCAGCCCUGCUGGGGAGCCAGCUUCUGUCCCCCAGCUCCUGGUGCAGGCUGCAGCGGGGCUCCUGCAGCCUGGCCUUUGGGUGGAGGCCUUCUCCAGCCCCGGAGUGAGCCGGCCUCUGACCCUGAUGAAACUCAGGUCCAUUUCUGAGGGAAUUUAUGAUUCUCACAUUAAUGCCAGUCUCUUCCAACUCAGACUUGGAUAAUUUUAGAUAGAGACCCAAAUCUGGCCUUUUGUUGGAAGCAGCAAGCGACAGCGUGUACACAAAGCUGGGAAUGCAGAGAAGGGCAGAUGGGAUUUCGAAGGCUGUUUUUGAUAAUUUGUCCUUACACAUUUGUCCUAGUACACACGAGGCAUAACAGUAAGUGAAAGAAGGGAAAAUUAAUCCUCUUGCUAACAGAAGAAUUUUCUCCUGGAUCCUCCCCAAUGAAGGGAGCAUGCACAGCCAGUUAUCUUUGUAAAAUUCAAGCUCCAGCACGUACUGUAUGUACUUUGUUCUGUAAUACGGAGUUUACCUGCUGCAUUUAUCUUUAUAGAAAUUAAUUGUGAGCUUUGUUGAGUAUUUUCUGGAUCAUAUACAUCUUCAUAGACAACAGAAUUCCUUAUUAGUUUAUCUUCUGCAAUACCUUGCAGUAACAAAGAAAAGUGAAGCUUUAACAUCUUAUGUUAAGACGUGUUUUUUAUAUCUUGUAUUUACUGCAGAUAUCAUAGCUUCAAAAUACCUUUUUCCAUAGCAGUACAAAAAGAAUUUAACAUUUGACAGUAUAUAUAUUUUGGCAGAGGUAAGGUUGAAUUAACAGGUUGAUGGUAUUUUAAUUAUUUUAUUGAGAUGGUGCUGGCCCAGAAUGCUCAUUGGAAUUUACAAAUGUGCGUUGAUUUAUAUUUUAUUUUGUAAACCAGGCCCAAGAGGCUGACUAAUUAGAAGCAUGACUCAAAGCUAUAAGGGUACUUAUUGAUUCAGAUCAUGAAAAGACCAGAAUGAUCAAAAGCAAACAUCUAUCUCCCUCUUCAUCUGGG
rnacentral:lncRNA from 1 species